UGCAGAAGCGACCUCUUUGUGAAGUCGGUGUGAAGGAAGCGACCUCUUUGUGACGUCUGCGACCUCUUUGUGACGUCGGCCCUUGCCGGUGCCCAGCACAGCAGCCAGCAGCUCCCAGCCCAGGCAGGAGGUGCACUGGCCUCCCGGCGGCCUUCUGAGGCCUAAGAGCUCCAAGCCCUGCCUUUCGUGCCCUCUGCGCUAGACCCGUGGCCACAGCCGACAGGUCUCACUCUGUCACCCUGGCUGGAAGGCAGUGGUGUGAUCAUAGCUCACUGCAGCUUUGGCCUCCUGGGCUCAAGCAAUGCCUCUGCUUCAACAUCCCAAGUAGCUGGAAUUACAGGAUUUCUACUUAUAAGACAGACAAACACACUACAAGAAAACUACAGAUCAAUAUCCCUUGUGAAUAUAGAUGCAAAAAUCUCUAACAAAAUACUACCAGACAAAACUCAGCAUAUUAAAAGGAUUGAUUACGUAACAGGACCAAGUAGGAUUUAUUCCUGGAAUGGAAAGAUAGUUCAACAAUAAAAAUUAAUGAAGAAAAAAACUACAUGAUUAUCUCAGUUGAUGCAGAAAAAGCAUAUGAAAAACAUUAAUAUCUUUUAAUGGAACACAUACUCAAUAUAGGAGAAACAGAAAGAAACUUCCUCAAAAUGAUAGGGCCAUGACAAAA